rnacentral:rRNA from 1 species
GAUAAACGCUGGCGGCGUGCAUGAGACAUGCAAGUCGAACGAAGGAUCGGGCUUGCUCGAUCCUUAGUGGCGGACGGCUGAGUAACGCGUAGGUGACCUACCCCGAAGUGGGGAAUAACUGCCCGAAAGGGUGGCUAAUACCGCAUGUGGUCGCACGUUCAUUCGUGCGAGUAAAGCCGCAAGGCGCUUCGGGAGGGGCCUGCGUCCGAUUAGCUCGUUGGUGGGGUAAUGGCUUACCAAGGCGACGAUCGGUAGGUGGUCUGAGAGGACGAUCACCCAGACUGGGACUGAGACACGGCCCAGACUCCUACGGGAGGCAGCAGUCGGGAAUUUUGCUCAAUGGGGGAAACCCUGAAGCAGCAACGCCGCGUGAGGGAUGAAGGCCUUCGGGUUGUAAACCUCUUUUGUCAGGGACGAUGAUGACGGUACCGGGCGAAUAAGCCACGGCUAACUACGU